UACGUAGGGUGCAAGCGUUGUCCGGAAUUAUUGGGCGUAAAGAGCUCGUAGGCGGUCUGUCGCGUCGGCUGUGAAAACUUGGGGCUCAACCCCAAGCCUGCAGUCGAUACGGGCAGACUAGAGUGCGGUAGGGGAGACUGGAAUUCCUGGUGUAGCGGUGAAAUGCGCAGAUAUCAGGAGGAACACCGAUGGCGAAGGCAGGUCUCUGGGCCGAUACUGACGCUGAGGAGCGAAAGCGUGGGGAGCGAACAGG
rnacentral:rRNA from 1 species